rnacentral:lncRNA from 1 species
AAUCCUUUUUCACUUUAGGAGGAAGAAAAAGAUGUACCACUUUCUUCAAGUCUUUUCUGAACAAUAAUGGAUUUACUUCUUUCACCAUUGUUCAGCUUGUUCACCUUUCCAAGCAGAAGGAAGA